rnacentral:piRNA from 1 species
UCUCACCCAGGUUAUUUAGAACGGUUGUU